CCUGACGACGCAACGCCGCGUGGAGGAUGAAGGUCUUCGGAUUGUAAACUCCUGUUGCUCGGGACGAAAAGCUUCGACCUAACACGUCGAAGUCUGACGGUACCGAGUGAGGAAGCCCCGGCUAACUCUGUGCCAGCAGCCGCGGUAAUACAGAGGGGGCAAGCGUUGUUCGGAAUUACUGGGCGUAAAGGGCGCGUAGGCGGCCUGCUAAGUCGAACGUGAAAUCCCUGGGCUCAACCCAGGAACUGCGUCCGAUACUGGUUGGCUUGAAUCCGGGAGAGGGAUGUGGAAUUCCAGGUGUAGCGGUGAAAUGCGUAGAUAUCUGGAGGAACACCGGUGGCGAAGGCGACAUCCUGGACCGGUAUUGACGCUGAGGCGCGAAAGCCAGGGGAGCAAACGGGAUUAGAUACCCCGGUAGUCCUGGCCCUAAACGAUGAAUGCUUGGUGUGGUGGGUAUCGAUCCCUACCGUGCCGAAGCUAACGCAUUAAGCAUUCCGCCUGGGGAGUACGGUCGCAAGGCUG
rnacentral:rRNA from 1 species